GUUUGAGGGCCUGGAGAGCUAAGUGUCUAAUUCUGCCUGGGAAGGCUUCAUGGAAGAGGUGACUUUUGAGUGGGGUCUGAAAGCCAAGUCUAUAUGUGAAAACGUUUUGCUUAUUUUUGCUUUCUUCAUCCCUUUCUCUGUCUCUUCUAUUUUCCAGCAUCACACACUGUCCACCUCCUCUAGGCAUCUUUCCCAGAUGAAUUAAUUCUAUUAAAUUCUCAUUUCCAGCAAGACUCUCAUCCACUCCUGUACUGCUACCCCAUCUUCACAAGGCCAGGGUCUGGCUCUGUAACCCAGGCUUGAAUGCAGUGGCAUGAUGGGUGCAAUCUUAUUACCUAUUACUGGUCUCUUCAGGUUUUCUUUUUGGCUCAAUCUUGAGAUGGAGGCUCGUUUUGUUGCCCAGGCUGGAGUGCAGUGGCUAUUCACAGGCACGAUCAUCACACACUGUAGCCUUGAACUCCUGGCCUCAAGCGAUUUUCCUGUCUCAGCCUACAAAGUUGCUGGAACUCUAGAUGGAGUCUCUCUCUGUUGCCCAGGCUAGAGUGCAGUGGAACGAUCUUGGCUCACUGCAACCUCUGCCUCCCGGGUUCAAGCAAUUCUCCUGCCUCAGCCUCCUGAGUACCUGGGAUUACAUACGUGCACCAUCACGUCCAGCUAAUUUUUGUAUUUUUAGUACAGAUGGGGUUUCACCAUGUUGGCCAGGCUGGUCUGAACUCCAGACCUCAAGUGAUCCACAUGCCCUGGCCUCCCAAAGUGCUGGAAUUACAGGUGUGAACCACCAUGCCCAACCUAGCCAGCCUGAUUUUUUAAUAUUUGUUGGGAUUUAUUUUGUGGCCUAACAUAUGCUCUAUCUUGGAAAAUGUUCCACGCAUAUACAUUAACUUUAAUCUUCACAAUGGUUCUGUGAGGUAGACAUUAUUAUCCCUAUUUUAUGGGAUAAGAAAACUGAGGCUCAGGAAGGCAGAGUAACUUGCCUAAGGUCACACAGCAUAAGUAGCAAAGCUGAGUUUUGAGCCUGCGUUGCCUGACUCCAAAGUCUGGAUCCUUCCCAUGAGAAUGUCUGCCUCUCACAUUCAACUCCAAUACACACAUCUAAGACUAGUGCAUAAGCUGAUAGCUGUUAACAUUUUCCCCCACAGAAAAUGCAGCUGAACCAAGCCUGCCUAUCUUGUCUAUGAGCAGCUGAUUCUUUGAAUCUAAAGAAUUGAUACAGGACUUGAUACAUGUGGAAUAACAGAAAGAACCUGGACCUUGGAGUGAGACAGGCUUAGACUUGAGUUCUGGCUACACACUUGGCUGUGCCAACUCAAGGCAGCUACCUUGACAUUAUAAGGCUGAUUUUCUUCAACUGUAAAAUGUCGAUGUAGGAUUACAUGAUAACACAUGCGAAGCCUCUGGUAGAACACUCAGGGCAGCACUGCUCACGCUUCUUAGUUGCCUUCCCCUGAUCUGGAGUGUCAAUUAAUCUUGGUUUGAGUUCCUCUUGCCCACCAGUGCACUUUGGUCCCCCAUUCAGUCAUGUAGCAAGGGGCUAUUCCUCCAGCUGUUCUUGAGUAAGCAUGGCACCUCACAUUCAAAUAGAAUGGUUACUAAUAGUCAUCCAAGUUAUUGAGAAAAAUAUUGACCACAAUGUACCACUCUCCCACUCCACUUUUUCCUAAUUAAUCUUUCCUUUGGGACUCAGCUAAGUUGUUCAUUCUGCUGGGAGUGCUCCACCCACCCAGAGCUGCCCCGAGUGCCUGCCUUGUGUUCUCUGCAUCCCCUCACCACCAUCGUUUGUGACAAGCAGCUGAGGUGUCUGUAACCCGAAUCAAUACUGGAUCAGCUCCUUGAAGAUAGAGAUUGGGUCACACAAUUAUCCUUAUAUCUGAGAGCACAGCACCUGCCUAGUACAUAGCUGGCAUUCAGAAAAUAUUAGCUACACAAAAAUGUGUUUAAGUAUUAUAACCUUGAGUUGAUGAAACUCUGAGGCAAGAAAUAGUAUUUAUAGAGGAUUUCAUGAAAAAUGUACAAUUUAUCGAUCUCAUCAGUUCUCAGAUUUGGCUAUAUAUUAAAAUCCCCUGGAAACAUAGAAAAAAUCAGAAUCUCUGGUUGGUGGAGUCCUGUGUUGGUAUUUUGCAAAAGUUCCCAGGACUUCCUAAUGUGCAGCUAGGGUUGGAAACCACUGCUCCAGAAAAUCCACAUUUUACCACUGAAGAACUGCCUGCAUAUCCUGUACCAUUUAGGCCCUGCACUAAAGUGCCUUUAUUGAAUUAUACUUGGGCUUUGUGUCCAAUUUGACUGAACCUAGGAUAUAACUGUGUGACUCUUGUCACCGGAGAUAUGGGGAGAUGUUGUUGUCAAUGGAUCCUCUUUAUGAAGACACACCAGAGAGAUGCCUAUUGGGCAUCAGCACCAAAAAAAGGCCAUGAUCCUCCUGAGCAACCAGUUCAUGUUUGUCUUACGGAUUCCAGGAAUCAUUUAAUUAACACUAUUUUCCAGGUUUGUAGUAGCUGCUGCAAAGCUCAAGAUCAAAGCCUUUAUCACCUACAAAGAAUUUUGUGGUGUGUGUGUUACAUAUUGACUUGGUUCUGCAUUAUUUUUUGUCUUUUUCUCUUCACCCUCUGAUAUGGUUUAGGUCUGUGUCCCUACCCAAAUCUCAUGUCAAAUUAUAAUUCUCAAUGUUGGAGGAGGGGCCUGGUGGGAGGUGAUUGGAUCAUGGGGGCAGACAUCCCCCUUGCUGUUCUCUCAAUAAUGAGUUUUUAUGAGAUCUGGUCGUUUGAAAGUGUGUAGCACCUCCUCCUUUGCUCUCUUGUUCCUGCUGGCCAUGUGAAGAUGUGCCUGCUUCCUCUUUGCCUUCCGCCAUGAUUGUAAGUUUUCUGAGGCCUCUCCAGAAGCAGAAGCCUGUAUAGCCCACAGAACUAUGAGUCAAUUAAACCUCUUUUCUUUAUAAA